CAUGAUUUAGCCAGUACCCCCAAGCAAAGAGACCUUUAGUUUGAUACCCCGAAACCAGGUGAGCUACCCCGAGACAGCCUAUAUUAAUUUAGGGCUAACCCGUCUCUGUGGCAAAAGAGUGGGAAGAGCUCCGGGUAGAAGUGAAAGACCUACCGAACCUGGUGAUAGCUGGUUGACUGAGAAAUGGAUAGAAGUUCAGCCUCGCACACCCCAAACCAAAAAAUACUAUCACCAAGAUAUUAAGGGAAACGUACGAGAGUUAGUUAAAAGGGGUACAGCCCUUUUAACAAAGGAUACAACCUUUACAGGAGGAUAAAGAUCAUAAUGUAUAAGAUAUACUGUUCUAGUGGGCCUGAAAGCAGCCACCUAAACAGAAAGCGUUAAAGCUCGGACAGAAGGAAGUUUAUUAUACUGAUAAAAAAUCUUAUUCCCCUAGCUAUAUCAGACCAACCCAUGCCUCCAUGGAAGAGAUUAUGCUAAAAUGAGUAAUAAGAAGACCCGCUCUUCUCCCAGCACAAGUGUAAACCAGAUCGGACUGACCACUGGAACUUAACGAACCCAACCCCAGAGGGUAGUGUGAUUAACAAAAAACUCAAGAAGGCCUCACAUAACUAAUCGUUAACCCCACACUGGAGUGCUAUUUUAAGGGAAAGACUAAAAGAAGGGGAAGGAACUCGGCAAACACAAGCCUCGCCUGUUUACCAAAAACAUCGCCUCCUGCAACUAAACUGAGUAUAGGAGGUCCAGCCUGCCCAGUGACUACGGGUUCAACGGCCGCGGUAUCUUGACCGUGCAAAGGUAGCGCAAUCACUUGUCUCUUAAAUAGAGACCUGUAUGAAUGGCUAGACGAGGGCUUAACUGUCUCCCCCUUCCAGUCAGUGAAAUUGAUCUAUCCGUGCAGAAGCGGGUAUAAAUAUACAAGACGAGAAGACCCUUUGGAGCUUAAGGUACAAAAUUCAGCCACGUUAAACAACUCUAUAAGAAGCAAGAACUUAGUGAUAAUGAAAUUUUACCUUCGGUUGGGGCGACCGCGGAGGAAAAACAAGCCUCCGAGUGGACUGGGCCGAAUCCCUGAAGCCAAUAGAGACAUCUAUAAGCCGCAGAACAUCUGACCAAAAAUGAUCCGGCUAAAAGCCGAUCAACGAACCAAGUUACCCAAGGGAUAACAGCGCAAUCCCCUCCCAGAGCCCAUAUCUACGAGGGGGUUUACGACCUCGAUGUUGGAUCAGGACAUCCUAAUGGUGCAGCCGCUAUUAAGGGUUCGUUUGUUCAACGAUUAAAGUCC
rnacentral:rRNA from 1 species